rnacentral:rRNA from 1 species
GACGUAGGGUGCGAGCGUUGUCCGGAUUUAUUGGGCGUAAAGGGCUCGUAGGCGGCCAUCUAAGUCAGACGUGAAAUCCCCAGGCUCAACCUGGGAACUGCGUCUGAUACUGGAUGGCUUGAAUCCGGGAGAGGGAUGCAGAAUUCCAGGUGUAGCGGUGAAAUGCGUAGAUAUCUGGAGGAAUACCGGUGGCGAAGGCGGCAUCCUGGACCGGCAUUGACGCUGAGGAGCGAAAGCCAGGGGAGCAAACGGG